CGCGGGAUUAGAGUUUGAUCAUGGCUCAGAUUGAACGCUGGCGGCAGGCCUAACACAUGCAAGUCGAGCGGUAACAGGAAUUAGCUUGCUAAUUCGCUGACGAGCGGCGGACGGGUGAGUAAUGCCUGGGAAUAUGCCUUAGUGUGGGGGAUAACUAUUGGAAACGAUAGCUAAUACCGCAUAAUGUCUUCGGAUCAAAGAGGGGGACCUUCGGGCCUCUCGCGCUAAGAUUAGCCCAGGUGAGAUUAGCUUGUUGGUGAGGUAAAAGCUCACCAAGGCGACGAUCUCUAGCUGGUCUGAGAGGAUGAUCAGCCACACUGGAACUGAGACACGGUCCAGACUCCUACGGGAGGCAGCAGUGGGGAAUAUUGCACAAUGGGCGCAAGCCUGAUGCAGCCAUGCCGCGUGUAUGAAGAAGGCCUUCGGGUUGUAAAGUACUUUCAGUGGGGAGGAAGGUGUUGUCGUUAAUAGCGGCAGCAUUUGACGUUACCCACAGAAGAAGCACCGGCUAACUCCGUGCCAGCAGCCGCGGUAAUACGGAGGGUGCGAGCGUUAAUCGGAAUUACUGGGCGUAAAGCGCAUGCAGGUGGUUCAUUAAGUCAGAUGUGAAAGCCCGGGGCUCAACCUCGGAACCGCAUUUGAAACUGGUGAACUAGAGUGCUGUAGAGGGGGGUAGAAUUUCA
rnacentral:rRNA from 1 species